ensembl:lncRNA KLRK1-AS1 KLRK1 antisense RNA 1
AUACGCUUCCCCCUGCACAAAUCUUCCCCCACCCACGAAAUGCUUAAAAGGUCCCCGGGGCCAGGAGAGACCCGGCAUCCAAGGUGUGCCACAGCUGAGCUUCACCCGGAUAUAUAGACCAGCUCUCCCCACGUCCCAGCACCCUGCCUGGCAGCGCAAUGGAACCGAGGAUGGGGCUGCAGGACGAUACCAGCACUUCAGGAACUGUGACAGAAUCUUGCUCCGCUGCCAAGGCUGGAGUGCACUGGUUCAAUCUCGGCUCACUGCAAACUCUGCCUCCCAAGUUCAAGUGAUUCUCCUGUGUCAGUUUCUUUAGGAAUACAGCACUCCAUAUUGUUACCAUAAUAAUGAAACGGAUUCCCAUGGCUACAGCGAUGAAGCAGCAGAAAAAAAAUGGAGAUGCUGUCAAAGAAAAAAGACACAGAUCAGAGAAAGAAGCAUAAAAGGUUUGGGUAUCUUUGUAUUUAAUAUAAAUAUUAGAGUUUUUUAAAUG